CUCACUGCUCUUGCAUCUGGGUGAAGAAGACACACCGCCGUUUCCACUACGAUCGCUCCGUGACACUACUGCCGAUUCCACUUCGAGAAGACUGUAAUUUUCACAAGAACAUCGCACUCUGCCUCUCUGAUUUAAUCUCUGCAAAAUUCUAGUGGAAGUCAUCCAAAGGACCCAAGCUUACAAGAGAAGAUUCAUGUCCAGGUAAAUACAAA